rnacentral:lncRNA from 1 species
UGUUUCUUUCAUUUUUUUAGGGAUGCAGCGGGUGUCUUGAGGAUGGACUCAUGGCUUUGUGCCUGCUAAGCAUGUGUUCUACCACUUAGUUUCACUCCCGGGAUCCCUUGGUUGUGUUCAUUUGCUUGAAACAAGUAUUGUGUUUUUCACUGAAAAAUUCUGGCUCACUUACAACUUGACAUCACACCUGAACUCCAAGCCCGUUCUUGUUUCGGAAUUUCUUAACAGCCUGAUUGCAAGCUCUGUAGGAAUUAUAAUUUACAAAGCAACAGCUCAAACCUUUGUGAUGUUUUUGAUGCU